GGUUUAGAAGUGGAGCUCCUAUCAUUCCAAAGAAAGGUCUACCGGAAGGGUUUGUGCAGCUGCUUGUUCAUGGUUCCCACUAUCCUAUCUCCAUUAGAAAUCGAGGAGACAGGCUUGUGGUUUGCAUGACCAAGGAGACGCUCCGAUCCCUCGCCGACCGCUAUUUGGAUUGAAGGGAGCUCUGCAUCUUGAUCUA
rnacentral:pre_miRNA from 2 species